AUGGCUCAGAUUGAACGCUGGCGGCAGGCUUAACACAUGCAAGUCGAGCGGGGGAAGGUAGCUUGCUACCGGACCUAGCGGCGGACGGGUGAGUAAUGCUUAGGAAUCUGCCUAUUAGUGGGGGACAACAUCUCGAAAGGGAUGCUAAUACCGCAUACGUCCUACGGGAGAAAGCAGGGGAUCUUCGGACCUUGCGCUAAUAGAUGAGCCUAAGUCGGAUUAGCUAGUUGGUGGGGUAAAGGCCUACCAAGGCGACGAUCUGUAGCGGGUCUGAGAGGAUGAUCCGCCACACUGGGACUGAGACACGGCCCAGACUCCUACGGGAGGCAGCAGUGGGGAAUAUUGGACAAUGGGGGGAACCCUGAUCCAGCCAUGCCGCGUGUGUGAAGAAGGCCUUAUGGUUGUAAAGCACUUUAAGCGAGGAGGAGGCUACUUUAGUUAAUACCUAGAGAUAGUGGACGUUACUCGCAGAAUAAGCACCGGCUAACUCUGUGCCAGCAGCCGCGGUAAUACAGAGGGUGCGAGCGUUAAUCGGAUUUACUGGGCGUAAAGCGUGCGUAGGCGGCUUAUUAAGUCGGAUGUGAAAUCCCCGAGCUUAACUUGGGAAUUGCAUUCGAUACUGGUGAGCUAGAGUAUGGGAGAGGAUGGUAGAAUUCCAGGUGUAGCGGUGAAAUGCGUAGAGAUCUGGAGGAAUACCGAUGGCGAAGGCAGCCAUCUGGCCUAAUACUGACGCUGAGGUACGAAAGCAUGGGGAGCAAACAGGAUUAGAUACCCUGGUAGUCCAUGCCGUAAACGAUGUCUACUAGCCGUUGGGGCCUUUGAGGCUUUAGUGGCGCAGCUAACGCG
rnacentral:rRNA from 1 species